UUAAGCGACUAAGCGUACACGGUGGAUGCCCUGGCAGUCAGAGGCGAUGAAGGACGUGCUAAUCUGCGAUAAGCGUCGGUAAGGUGAUAUGAACCGUUAUAACCGGCGAUUUCCGAAUGGGGAAACCCAGUGUGAUUCGUCACACUAUCAUUAACUGAAUCCAUAGGUUAAUGAGGCGAACCGGGGGAACUGAAACAUCUAAGUACCCCGAGGAAAAGAAAUCAACCGAGAUUCCCCCAGUAGCGGCGAGCGAACGGGGAGCAGCCCAGAGCCUGAAUCAGUGUGUGUGUUAGUGGAAGCGUCUGGAAAGGCGCGCGAUACAGGGUGACAGCCCCGUACACAAAAAUGCACAUGCUGUGAGCUCGAUGAGUAGGGCGGGACACGUGGUAUCCUGUCUGAAUAUGGGGGGACCAUCCUCCAAGGCUAAAUACUCCUGACUGACCGAUAGUGAACCAGUACCGUGAGGGAAAGGCGAAAAGAACCCCGGCGAGGGAGUGAAAAAGAACCUGAAACCGUGUACGUACAAGCAGUGGGAGCACGCUUAGGCGUGUGACUGCGUACCUUUUGUAUAAUGGGUCAGCGACUUAUAUUCUGUAGCAAGGUUAACCGAAUAGGGGAGCCGAAGGGAAACCGAGUCUUAACUGGGCGUUAAGUUGCAGGGUAUAGACCCGAAACCCGGUGAUCUAGCCAUGGGCAGGUUGAAGGUUGGGUAACACUAACUGGAGGACCGAACCGACUAAUGUUGAAAAAUUAGCGGAUGACUUGUGGCUGGGGGUGAAAGGCCAAUCAAACCGGGAGAUAGCUGGUUCUCCCCGAAAGCUAUUUAGGUAGCGCCUCGUGAAUUCAUCUCCGGGGGUAGAGCACUGUUUCGGCAAGGGGGUCAUCCCGACUUACCAACCCGAUGCAAACUGCGAAUACCGGAGAAUGUUAUCACGGGAGACACACGGCGGGUGCUAACGUCCGUCGUGAAGAGGGAAACAACCCAGACCGCCAGCUAAGGUCCCAAAGUCAUGGUUAAGUGGGAAACGAUGUGGGAAGGCCCAGACAGCCAGGAUGUUGGCUUAGAAGCAGCCAUCAUUUAAAGAAAGCGUAAUAGCUCACUGGUCGAGUCGGCCUGCGCGGAAGAUGUAACGGGGCUAAACCAUGCACCGAAGCUGCGGCAGCGACACUAUGUGUUGUUGGGUAGGGGAGCGUUCUGUAAGCCUGUGAAGGUGUACUGUGAGGUAUGCUGGAGGUAUCAGAAGUGCGAAUGCUGACAUAAGUAACGAUAAAGCGGGUGAAAAGCCCGCUCGCCGGAAGACCAAGGGUUCCUGUCCAACGUUAAUCGGGGCAGGGUGAGUCGACCCCUAAGGCGAGGCCGAAAGGCGUAGUCGAUGGGAAACAGGUUAAUAUUCCUGUACUUGGUGUUACUGCGAAGGGGGGACGGAGAAGGCUAUGUUGGCCGGGCGACGGUUGUCCCGGUUUAAGCGUGUAGGCUGGUUUUCCAGGCAAAUCCGGAAAAUCAAGGCUGAGGCGUGAUGACGAGGCACUACGGUGCUGAAGCAACAAAUGCCCUGCUUCCAGGAAAAGCCUCUAAGCAUCAGGUAACAUCAAAUCGUACCCCAAACCGACACAGGUGGUCAGGUAGAGAAUACCAAGGCGCUUGAGAGAACUCGGGUGAAGGAACUAGGCAAAAUGGUGCCGUAACUUCGGGAGAAGGCACGCUGAUAUGUAGGUGAAGUCCCUCGCGGAUGGAGCUGAAAUCAGUCGAAGAUACCAGCUGGCUGCAACUGUUUAUUAAAAACACAGCACUGUGCAAACACGAAAGUGGACGUAUACGGUGUGACGCCUGCCCGGUGCCGGAAGGUUAAUUGAUGGGGUCAGCGCAAGCGAAGCUCUUGAUCGAAGCCCCGGUAAACGGCGGCCGUAACUAUAACGGUCCUAAGGUAGCGAAAUUCCUUGUCGGGUAAGUUCCGACCUGCACGAAUGGCGUAAUGAUGGCCAGGCUGUCUCCACCCGAGACUCAGUGAAAUUGAACUCGCUGUGAAGAUGCAGUGUACCCGCGGCAAGACGGAAAGACCCCGUGAACCUUUACUAUAGCUUGACACUGAACAUUGAGCCUUGAUGUGUAGGAUAGGUGGGAGGCUUUGAAGUGUGGACGCCAGUCUGCAUGGAGCCGACCUUGAAAUACCACCCUUUAAUGUUUGAUGUUCUAACGUGGACCCGUAAUCCGGGUUGCGGACAGUGUCUGGUGGGUAGUUUGACUGGGGCGGUCUCCUCCUAAAGAGUAACGGAGGAGCACGAAGGUUGGCUAAUCCUGGUCGGACAUCAGGAGGUUAGUGCAAUGGCAUAAGCCAGCUUGACUGCGAGCGUGACGGCGCGAGCAGGUGCGAAAGCAGGUCAUAGUGAUCCGGUGGUUCUGAAUGGAAGGGCCAUCGCUCAACGGAUAAAAGGUACUCCGGGGAUAACAGGCUGAUACCGCCCAAGAGUUCAUAUCGACGGCGGUGUUUGGCACCUCGAUGUCGGCUCAUCACAUCCUGGGGCUGAAGUAGGUCCAAGGGUAUGGCUGUUCGCCAUUUAAAGUGGUACGCGAGCUGGGUUUAGAACGUCGUGAGACAGUUCGGUCCCUAUCUGCCGUGGGCGCUGGAGAACUGAGGGGGGCUGCUCCUAGUACGAAGGACCGGAGUGGACGCAUCACUGGUGUUCGGGUUGUCAUGCCAAUGGCACUGCCCGGUAGCUAAAUGCGGAAGAGAUAAGUGCUGAAAGCAUCUAAGCACGAAACUUGCCCCGAGAUGAGUUCUCCCUGACUCCUUGAGAGUCCUGAAGGAACGUUGAAGACGACGACGUUGAUAGGCCGGGUGUGUAAGCGCAGCGAUGCGUUGAGCUAACCGGUACUAAUGAACCGUGAGGCUUAACCUU
rnacentral:rRNA from 1 species